rnacentral:rRNA from 1 species
AUUGAACGCUGGCGGCAGGCCUAACACAUGCAAGUCGAACGGUAGCACAGAGAGCUUGCUCUCGGGUGACGAGUGGCGGACGGGUGAGUAACGUCUGGGAAACUGCCCGAUGGAGGGGGAUAACUACUGGAAACGGUAGCUAAUACCGCAUAACGUCGCAAGACCAAAGUGGGGGACCUUCGGGCCUCACACCAUCGGAUGUGCCCAGAUGGGAUUAGCUAGUAGGUGGGGUAAUGGCUCACCUAGGCGCCGAUCCCUAGCUGGUCUGAGAGGAUGACCAGCCACACUGGAACUGAGACACGUACCAGACUACUACGGGAGGCAGCAGUGGGGAAUAUUGCACAAUGGGCGCAAGCCUGAUGCAGCCAUGCCGCGUGUAUGAAGAAGGCCUUCGGGUUGUAAAGUACUUUCAGCUGGGAGGAAGGCGGUGGAGUUAAUAACUUCACCGAUUGACGUUACCCGCAGAAGAAGCACCGGCUAACUCCGUGCCAGCCGCCGCAGUAA